rnacentral:rRNA from 1 species
GGUCAUUUAGAGGAAGUAAAAGUCGUAACAAGGUCUCCGUAGGUGAACCUGCGGAGGGAUCAUUAACGAGUGGUCAUCCUUGAUCUUCUACCCUCAAACCACUGUGGACAUGAGAUGUGCUUCGGCGUCGAGAGACGCCGCUUUUAUGCUUCUUCAAGUCUUUAUUGUCUGUCAAAACAAAUGUCAAAACUUUCAACAAAGGAUCUCUUGGCUCUUGCAUCGAUGAAGAACGUAGCAAAGCGCGAAAUGUAGUGUGAAUUGCAGAACAUUGUGAAUCAUCGAAUCUUUGAACGCACAUUGCACCUCUCGUGAGGGAGGUAUGCCUGUCUGAGCGUCAUUCAAACCGAUAAAUCUCUGGAUUUGUUCUGGGCUCUGUGAAAUUGUGCAUUGCCUCAAAGUCAUGGUYUAACCUGCGGACGAGCUCCUCUUGGACCUGCCGUGGCGUGACCCUCAUCUCUGAAUUUGACCUCAGAUCAGGUAGGAAGACCGCCUGAACUUAAGCAUAUCAAUAAGGCGAGGAACAGAAACCAACCGGGAUUCCCCCAGUAGUGGCGAAUGAAGUGGGAAAAGCUCAAGUUUGAAAUCUGACUUCCGUCAGAGUUGUAAGCUGAAGAGGCUUCGACCGAUGUGGCUCAGGCUCAAUUCCCUUGGGAUAGGGAGUCGUGGAGGGUGAGAACCCCGUUUGUGGCCUGGUAGCCUUCAUCCUUGUGUCGUUUCCUCNAAAGAGUCGGGUUGUUUGNGGAAUGCAGCUCAAAANUGNGGUGGUAAAUUUCAUCUAAAGCUAAAUAUUGGNCAAGAGACCGAUAGCAAACAAGUAGAGUAAUCGAAAGAUGAAAAGUACUUUGAAAAGAGAGUGAAACAGUGCGUGAAAUUGUUGAAAGGGAACCGUUUGGUAUCAGCCCAUGGCUGUCUCUGAUCAUCUGGGCUUCUGCCUGGUGCACUCGGAGGUAGUUGGGCCAGCGUCGACUUUGCCCGCUGGAGAAAGGUCUGGGGAAUGUGGCUCCUCAUGGAGUGUUAUAGCCCUGGGCGUCAUGCAGCGCGGUGGGGUCGAGGUCUGCGGUCAUCCUAGGACGCUGGCGUAAUGGUCCCAAGCGACCCGUCUUGAAACACGGACC